GAAAUGCGAUAAGUAAUGUGAAUUGCAGAAUUCAGUGAAUCAUCGAAUCUUUGAACGCACAUUGCGCCCGCCAGUAUUCUGGCGGGCAUGCCUGUUCGAGCGUCAUUUCAACCAUCAAGCCCCCGGGCUUGUGUUGGGGACCUGCGGUUGCCGCAGGCCCCGAAAACCAGUGGCGGGCUCGCUGUCACACCGGGCGUAGUAGAUUUUUCGUCUCGCCCAGGGCGUGCUGCGGGUUCCGGCCGUUAAAAAGCCUCUCUUUUUAACCCAAGGUUGACCUCGGAUCAGGUAGGAAGACCCGCUGAACUUAAGC
rnacentral:misc_RNA from 1 species